rnacentral:rRNA from 1 species
AGAGGGGGCAAGCGUUAUUCGGAAUUAUUGGGCGUAAAGGGCGCGUAGGCGGCGAUUCAAGUGACGGGUGAAAUCCCUCGGCUUAACCGAGGAACUGCCUGUCAGACUGGGUUGCUUGAGACCGGGAGAGGCGAGUGGAAUUCCCAGUGUAGCGGUGAAAUGCGUAGAUAUUGGGAGGAACACCAGUGGCGAAGGCGGCUCGCUGGACCGGAACUGACGCUGAGGCGCGAAAGCGUGGGGAGCAAACAGGAUUAGAUACCCUGGUAGUCCACGCCGUAAACGAUGAGUGCUUGGUGUAGCGGGUAUCGACCCCUGCUGUGCCGAAGUCAACACAUUAAGCACUCCGCCUGGGGAGUACGGUCGCAAGACUG